UUUACAGAUGGGGAAACUGAGUCAGACGGUGCUAAUGGGGAGAGGUUGGGGAAGGUAGGCUCAUUCUAAGUAUGUGCCAAUGCAUACUACUAUUAACUACUUUGUAGUUUGUUUUUUUUUUAAUUGUUGAAAAUAAUAAAAGAAGAAAUAGCUUCCAGAGCUCAGACAUGGCAGAGAAAGGCCCUCUGCUCUCACUGGCCUCUGUGUGGGCAAGUGUCAGGGGUUUGGGAAAUUCAUCAGAUUCGACUUUAUCCUUGAAUCCCUAUCACAUUUAAUUGGCAAGGAAACCAAGACACAGAGAUGUUGGGGGGAAGGAGAUGGAGGAAUAUUCUUGGAGCAUCUGCUAUGUGAUAGCUAUGCUUACGAAUUCCCUCUUGCUUACUCUUCACAGCACCAUUGUUGCCGAGGUCUUGUGCUUAAGGGUACAGAGAGGAACAAGACACAGCCCCAGUCCUCAAAGUUCUCACUCACAUAGGAAUGAAGGGACAUGGAUAAGCCAUCAGGACAUUCAGUGUAUGGUAGGUCAGCGUUAGCACACGUGGCCUUUUUAAUGAAGGUGAUUUCAGAGACUUUCUCGACAACAGCUUCGCCUGAGAGGCACACAAGAGAACAAAGAAGAGAUGAUAUUGAUAAAGAACUACAGCUUGGGAAUCAUCUGAUACUGCACAACAUUCAGAACAGCCUGGGAUGUCUUCUGAUACUAUGCAAGAAUUGGUACAAUAGAAGACAAAUAAUUUGUAUUUCUGGAAUGAAAAGCACUUGAUUAUUUCAGUAAAAAUAGGAAUGGUUUAUUCUUUCUUCCUUACAAUGUGAAAGAUGGAUGCAAAUGGUGCUCAAAAGUUAGACUGUGAAAAGAUCAGAGUGCUAAACACCUAUUUUGGUCAGAAUAACAAUCAUGAUUCAGAUAAAGAAAAUUUGUGAUCAUCAAUGAGAAAAAAAUAGAAUAACAUCACAAAUCAAUUUCAUACAGUAAAACAUUUGAAAUAAUAAAAACCAGAAAAACAUUUUUAUCAGAGUAUCCAUCAAGCAAAUAAAGAUUUAGAAAGUAUUAUUAGAAUCUAACUCUAGUCUAUGGCUAAAAAUGAUGAAGAAUUUUCAUACUUGAAACACCUGAUAGAAUUUCAAAAGAGAAGAAAAUCAGUAUAAACAUAAAGUUGCAAUUUAGAUUUAUGGUCCUACUUAUUGCAAAAUUUAAACCUACUGAAAUGAGAACACAACUUUUUGGAAAAUAUAAAUAAGGUGAUAAAAUUUCAAUCAUUGAGAAAAUCAACUAAAAAAAGAUCUUUAAAAUAACAUAAAAUAAAAAAUUGGGGACUUUGAAGACCACUUAAUGGGUUUUGUUGAUUUCAAGGUACUGGAAGGAACAACUGAACAACAUAUCAAACUGUUUGUGAGAGAAAGGAGUCAAUGAGGAAUAUUUAUGUGAACACCUUAUCGGUACAAAUAGAUUGCCAGGGAAGAGUCAGGCUUCAGCAAGAAUUCUGAAGUUCCCAGCUGUUCAAUUUGGUGUUGACUGAAUUACCUGUCAAGCAGGUAUCAAGUGUCUCUGGACACUACAAAGAUAGGAGCCAAGCAAAAUCUCACUUUAAAUAUUGUCUUCAUAAAUUCAGUGUUUACUACUGCAUAUCUAGGCAGAAGUAAGUAAUAAUAGGAAAAGCUUUAAAAAUUGCAAUAAUGAAAAAAAUUAUGAUAAUGAAAACAGGAAAAAUAUUGGGAUUUUGACAGGCAGCUGGUAGUGCAAGGAUCACAAAGGCAGUUUGGAAAUUAUAUCAAGCUUGCUUGGUUCACUUAGAUAGAUACUGUGAUAUCAGAGCAAAUAUUUAGAAAGUGGAUAGAUUUCAGAUAUGCUUUUUGGUGAUUUGCUCAUGAUAGUCUAGCAAUUAUGUCAAUACUAUCUUCAGAUGUUCAAGAAAAUAUAUUUCAACUUUAAUAAGUUCACAGAUUAGGGAAUGAAUAAUGAAAUUGUGUAAAAAUAAAGGAAACUAUGAAAGUGGAGCAAGAGCUUUUGACAAAAUCAAGAAUGAUUACAAAUUUGAUAUAAAACAAAAUAAAAUCAAUUUAAGGGAAAAGAUAAUUAUAUGAAAAUGUUUUUGUUUUAAUGGCAAAAGUAAAAAAUUUGAUGAACUUUUAAGUUUUUAAAAAAAAUUCUGAAUCCUAAAACUUUGUCUAUGGUGUUUGUAAAACUCUCAAGGGCAAUAAAAGUUAAGAAAAUUAGGAAAACUAAAUAUUCAAUAAAUUUUCAAAUUUCAAAAAAUUCAAUAAAUCGUUGUCAUGAUUCAGCUGAUAAUAGAGAUACACUGAAUACAUAAAAAUGUCAGACAGUGUCCAAAGGACUAGAAACAUUUUGAAUGUAAUUACUACCAAUUUAGCAGAAGCUGAUAGAGACUUCAGGACCAUGAACGAUAUUGUUGCUAUUAGGAGA